AUACGAAGGGUGCAAGCGUUAAUCGGAAUUACUGGGCGUAAAGCGCGCGUAGGUGGUUCAGCAAGUUGGAUGUGAAAGCCCCGGGCUCAACCUGGGAACUGCAUCCAAAACUACGGAGCUAGAGUACGGUAGAGGGUGGUGGAAUUUCCUGUGUAGCGGUGAAAUGCGUAGAUAUAGGAAGGAACACCAGUGGCGAAGGCGGCCACCGGGACUGAUACUGACACUGAGGUGCGAAAGCGGGGGGAGCAAACAGGAUUAGAUACCCUGGUAGUCCACGCCGUAAACGAUGUCAACUAGUUGUUGGGUUCCUUGAGAACUUAGUAACGAAGCUAACGCGAUAAGUUGACCGCCUGGGGAGUACGGCCGCAAGGUUAAAACUCAAAUGAAUUGACGGGG
rnacentral:rRNA from 1 species